AAUAGCAUUUGGCUAUCAACUGAAAUGCAGGAAGUUAUCAAUAAAUCAAAACUUUACACCAGUUGGAACUUCUACUACACUAAUGUGACACGCCAAGUAGGAAACAUGACAAUGGCCACAUAUGAGGCGAGUCUGGGUAGGCAAACCAGCACAAACUAUCCACUUGUUAAUUUCUUGAUGGCGACAGAAUCAGACUUUUUCAUAGGAGCAUUGGGUUCUACAUGGUGCUUUCUCAUAGAUGGCAUGAGAAAUACUGGAGGGAAAGUAA
rnacentral:misc_RNA from 1 species